rnacentral:miRNA from 1 species
GAAAGAAAGAAAGGGAGGGAGGGAGGGAGGGGAAAAAAAUGGAAGAAAAAGGAAUAACUGAAGGUGUGAUCGUGCUUUAUUACAUGUGAGAGGCGAAAGUAGUUCUUCUUCUUCUUCUUCUUUGUCUACUUCUACUUAUUAUUAUCUUUCUUGCCUUUUUUUUUCUCUCUCUCUCUCUCCCUUUUUUUUUC